AUCGCCGCAUUUAAAUGCCGGUAUGCUGCAUGCGUGAAAGCGCUUAAGGUGGUGCCGUAGAGGUACAUUGCUACGUAGGUGGAAACACCGUCGCACUCGGCGACAUUAGCAUUACCGAGAUCUCCGCAUUGGUACGUCGGGCAUUUACAACGUUCGAAAUCCUUUGCAACCGGACGAGGCCGUUGCUCUUCUCAGCCUCGCAGCGUGGUGGAUGUGGUAUAUUUCAACCCUCCUCCUCUUUCCACGAAAGUGGUCGACCCCUAUAUAUACCUUGUUUGUAACUGAUAGUGUACACAGUACCGUGAGGGAACAAUUGAAACUGGGCUGGAACUCUCCUAUGCAACUUUCUCUCUCAAGAGCACACGAUUGCAAUACAUUAAUCCAGUGGAUAUUUAUGUACAGCACUCUACCCGCGUUUUUUAAGAAUUUUAAUAUA
rnacentral:rRNA from 1 species